CUUGGCUUGAGCUGAUGGGAGUGUGAACCUGCUCGGUGAUUACAUGAGUCAACCUUGGAAGAAUUCGAGAGUUAAUCUUUGUUUUCAAAGAAGCUCUCCUCUCUGAUAUAACUUGUCCGUAUCACCUGUGUUGUCUGUUUAUGAAAAUGCAGAGCCCACCAUGAAGAGUGGAUGUCCAUCUCAAUGCUUGGGUUGUCAUGGUCGAGGAAAACUGGGUCCUUUUAUGAAACUUUUGAUGUCCCAAUUGAUAUUCGAAGCCUUGCAGACCUAGGCUUUGGUAUGACUGCUAAAAAGCCUCGAGGAAAGCUGAAGCAAGGAGGGCUGUCGGCAUGGAGAGGCACAUAGAAUGGUUGAAAGGGAUGUUGCAAUGAACAUGACCUGAUCUUAUAGGCAAUACAUUUCGGUGAUUAUUGGUGACUACAACGUAGCAAUCAAUUAGGUGGAGACACAGUGUCCUGUCGGUAAGUCUGACUGCUCAACAACUAGGAAGGAGAGCAUUUUUCACUCUUAAGGUAUGGAUUUAUUUUUCAUUCCAUCCAUUUUCUUGCUAAAGGAAAGGAGGUAUAAUGAGUGGUAUAGGACAGGACUUUCUUUCUACAAGAAUCUUCACUCUCCAAUGCUCCUCCAUGAUUAACUUUCUUUUGUCAUACAUCUUUUUCUUCCCACUUAUACAAGUCUUGAUUGUUUUGAAUUGGAAUCCCAUCUAAGAUAUGUGAGAUGAUGUUGAAAUAGAUUGGUUUAAUUCAUUACCUGUGGCCCUUCUUCACUGUUCAUUCUUUAUAGUAUUUUUCAGUAGCUUCGCUAUAAUGAGGCAAAAGAAUCUUUUCCUUUAUGAUAUGUCACAUUCUAGCAUAAUCUACAAUGAGAUUACGGUAUCUAAUAUCAAUACCAACAAAAAUGAGAAAUAACAUAAAGUCGCUACCAUGAACAAUCACAACUGUAACUAUCUCUGGUCUGGUUAACUCUUAUUGGUGUAAGAUUUAUCAAUUCACUGUGAAGGCCUCAAGGGUGGUGUCUUUUUUGCUGUCUGGCAUUCAGUUGCUUCAUAUGGUGCGUUAUGCCCUUGUCUGCAUCCUGUGGCCACUGGCUAUGGCUUUGAAUUUUAACUUUAUUCUUGCUUUUGAUCAGUAUUUGGUAUAACAAUGAUGAUUCUGCUCAAGUCUGGCUAUGAAUGAUGAUACUUUAUUGUUUCUCUGAGGUGUGAUUUUCUUUAGACAUGUGCCUGCCACCAUUUAAGAGACUUGCCCUGAUAUUAUAACUGGA